UCCCGUUGAUCCCGCGGGAGGUUGCUGCUAUCAGGAUUCGAUUAAGCCAUGCAAGUCCAGGUGUCCCUUGCGGAUACCGGCAGACUGCUCAGUAACACGUCGAUAACUUACCCUUUGGAGGGGCAUAGUCUUGGGAAACUGAGUUUAAUUCCCCAUAGGAGAUUAUAGCUGGAAUGCUUUAUCUCUGAAAGCUACGGCGCCAAAGGAUAGGUCGGCGGCCAAUUAGGUUGUUGGCGGUGUAAUGGACCACCAAGCCCGAUAUUGGUAGGGGCCUUGAGAGAGGGAGCCCCGAGAAGGACACUGAGAAACAGGUCCUAGCCCUACGGGGUGCAGCAGGCGCGGAACCUCUACAAUGCACGAAAGUGUGAUAGGGGAAUCCUGAGUGCUCAUACAUAGUAUGGGCUUUUGUUAAACCUAAAUCGUUUAGCGAAUAAGUGGUGGGUAAGACUGGUGCCAGCCGCCGCGGUAACACCAGCGCCACGAGUGGCAACCGUUUUUAUUGGGCCUAAAGCGUUCGUAGCCGGUUUGGUAAAUUUUCUGUGAAAUUGUACAGCUCAACUGGACAACGAGCAGAAAAAACUGCCGAACUAGGGACCGGGAGGAGUCAGUAGUACUUAAUGGGGAGCGGUAAAAUGCUAUAAUCCAUUGCGGACUACCUGUGGCGAAGGCGACUGACUAGAACGGGUCCGACGGUGAGGGACGAAAGCUAGGGGAGCGAACCGGAUUAGAUACCCGAGUAGUCCUAGCUGUAAACUCUGCGAGCUGGGUGUCGCAUAUUCUUCGUGAAUAUGCAGUGUCGUAGCGAAGGCGUUAAGCUCGCCGCCUGGGGAGUACGGUCGCAAGGCUGAAACUUAAAGGAAUUGGCGGGGGAGCACCACAAGGGGUGCGGCGUGCGGUUUAAUCUAAUUCAACGCAGAAAAUUUCACCAGAAGCGACGGCAGGAUGAAGGUCAGUCUGAAGGGCUUACCUGACGAGCCGAGAGGUAGUGCAUGGCCGCCGUCAGCUCGUGCCGUGAGGUGUCCUGUUAAGUCAGGUAACGAGCGAGACCUAUGUCCAUAAUUGCUAACAGGCUCAGCGACUGAGCACAUUAUGGGGACUGCCCGGGAAACUGGGAGGAAGGUGUAGGCAACGGUAGGUCUGUAUGCUCCGAAUCUUCUGGGCUACACGCGCGCAACAAUGGUAGGGACAAUGGGAUGCGACCCCGAGAGGGGAAGCCAAUCCUCUAAACCCUAUCCAAGUCCAGAUUGUGCACUGUAACUCGUGCACAUGACGAUGGAAUCCCUAGUAAUCGGGUCUCACUAUAGCCCGGUGAAUAAGUCCCUGCUCCUUGCACACACCGCCCGUCAAACCACUCGAGCAGAGUUUAGGUGAGGUUUAGCUUAUGGUUGAAUCAAAUCUAAGCUCAGUGAGAUGGGUUAAGUCGUCACAAGGUA
rnacentral:rRNA from 1 species